UGGGACCCUCGUUGGGAACUGUCUGCAGCUGUCUGGCCAUAAGAUGAUGGUACUUGGUGGGGGUGAUAAGACUAGGAGAAAUCAUUGUGGUCUGGAAAGAAACAGGUGUUUGCUGACAGACUGAAUCAGAGACUGGCUCCUUCCUGGAGAUGAGAAUAAAGUGGUGAAAGUAAGUUCAGAAGAAGGCUGGAGAUUGUGACAGCAUGAGUGUUUACAAAAUGAUUACGAAAAAGAUGUUCUGAGGUCCAGUCUUAAUGGCUGCAUGUUCCAGUGACAUUGUGGGGACAGGA